rnacentral:rRNA from 1 species
AUACCGGAUAAGCCCUUACGGGGAAAGAUUUAUCGCCGAAAGAUCGGCCCGCGUCUGAUUAGCUAGUUGGUGAGGUAAUGGCUCACCAAGGCGACGAUCAGUAGCUGGUCUGAGAGGAUGAUCAGCCACAUUGGGACUGAGACACGGCCCAAACUCCUACGGGAGGCAGCAGUGGGGAAUAUUGGACAAUGGGGGCAACCCUGAUCCAGCCAUGCCGCGUGAGUGAUGAAGGCCCUAGGGUUGUAAAGCUCUUUUGUGCGGGAAGAUAAUGACGGUACCGCAAGAAUAAGCCCCGGCUAACUUCGUGCCAGCAGCCGCGGUAAUACGAAGGGGGCUAGCGUUGCUCGGAAUCACUGGGCGUAAAGGGUGCGUAGGCGGGUCUUUAAGUCAGGGGUGAAAUCCUGGAGCUCAACUCCAGAACUGCCUUUGAUACUGAAGAUCUUGAGUUCGGGAGAGGUGAGUGGAACUGCGAGUGUAGAGGUGAAAUUCGUAGAUAUUCGCAAGAACACCAGUGGCGAAGGCGGCUCACUGGCCCGAUACUGACGCUGAGGCACGAAAGCGUGGGGAGCAAACAGGAUUAGAUACCCUGGUAGUCCACGCCGUAACGAUGAAUGCCAGCCGUUAGUGGGUUUACUCACUAGUGGCGCAGCUAACGCUUUAAGCAUUCCGCCUGGGGAGUACGG